rnacentral:hammerhead_ribozyme from 1 species
ACCCAGCUGACGAGUCCCAAAUAAGACGAAAUUCGCGUCCUGGAU